rnacentral:tRNA from 1 species
GGGGGUGGGGGCAUGGCUCAGUGGUAAAACAUCUGCUUGGGAUGCAGAAGGUUGCAGGUUCAAUCCCUGGCAUCUUCA